CUCCCCAACCACUGCAGAAUACUGCCAGCAGGCAGGUUCCCAAGAGCUGUGACCAAACAGCACACCCACCUGUGGGACUGCUGGCACGAAGUAGCCACCCGCCGCAGGCUGGAACUGAUUUAAGAUGGCAUUGGCAGGAAGUGCUCUCAUUCCAGCCACUCGUUGCAUAUACUGGUUGGUCAGCUGCUGUGGUGACCACUCACCCCCUACCCCAGCAGGGGUCUUCUUGAAGCCAUGCCAAACAAAGGAGGCUCAUUUAAGUAAAAGGAAUCUACAUGGCUAGCAACAGGCUGAGGCUUCCAGAAUAGAGAGCUUCUUGAUGAAUAAACUCAUUUCUCUUGUU